UUGCGGGGUCGCGACUGGCGUUGAGAUGGAUUCCCAUCGGGGAGCGACUGGCGAGUAUCGACCGCACGCCUGGGCCGGUACG
rnacentral:ncRNA from 2 species